rnacentral:rRNA from 1 species
GACGAACGCUGGCGGCGUGCUUAACACAUGCAAGUCGAACGGAAAGGCCCUGCUUUUGUGGGGUGCUCGAGUGGCGAACGGGUGAGUAACACGUGAGUAACCUGCCCUUGACUUUGGGAUAACUUCAGGAAACUGGGGCUAAUACCGGAUAGGAGCUCCUGCUGCAUGGCGGGGGUUGGAAAGUUUCGGCGGUUGGGGAUGGACUCGCGGCUUAUCAGCUUGUUGGUGGGGUAGUGGCUUACCAAGGCUUUGACGGGUAGCCGGCCUGAGAGGGUGACCGGCCACAUUGGGACUGAGAUACGGCCCAGACUCCUACGGGAGGCAGCAGUGGGGAAUAUUGCACAGUGGGCGGAAGCCUGAUGCAGCAACGCCGCGUGCGGGAUGACGGCCUUCGGGUUGUAAACCGCUUUCGCCUGUGACGAAGCGUGAGUGACGGUAAUGGGUAAAGAAGCACCGGCUAACUACGUG